rnacentral:rRNA from 1 species
GACGGACGCUGGCGGCGUGCUUAACACAUGCAAGUCGAACGGAAAGGCCCUGCUUUUGUGGGGUGCUCGAGUGGCGAACGGGUGAGUAACACGUGAGUAACCUGCCCUUGACUUUGGGAUAACUUCAGGAAACUGGGGCUAAUACCGGAUAGGAGCUCCUGCUGCAUGGUGGGGGUUGGAAAGUUUCGGCGGUUGGGGAUGGACUCGCGGCUUAUCAGCUUGUUGGUGGGGUAGUGGCUUACCAAGGCUUUGACGGGUAGCCGGCCUGAGAGGGUGACCGGCCACAUUGGGACUGAGAUACGGCCCAGACUCUUACGGGAGGCAGCAGUGGGGAAUAUUGCACAAUGGGCGGAAGCCUGAUGCAGCAACGCCGCGUGCGGGAUGACGGCCUUCGGGUUGUAAACCGCUUUCGCCUGUGACGAAGCGUGAGUGACGGUAAUGGGUAAAGAAGCACCGGCUAACUACGUG